UAAAAAUAUCAAUUAAUAAUCGAAAUACCUUGAAAAAAUGUUAUUAUAUUUUGUAGUGAAAAGGUUUAAGUCAACCCAAUAGUUCCAAGCAUUGCAAGAAAUGAUCCUAUGUUAGCAACGUCGUUCUCUCAGCGUUUGUUAUAUAGUUCCCGCCAAAAAUCGAUAAUAAGAUUAUUUCCGUUUUAGCGGAUUUAAAACAUCGGUGACCCCCUUUUUU
rnacentral:lncRNA from 1 species